GACGAACCGAGCGAACGUUGUUCGGAAUCACUGGGCUUAAAGGGCGCGUAGGCGGGCUCUCAAGUCCGGGGUGAAAUCCUCCAGCUCAACUGGAGAACUGCCUCGGAUACUGGGGGUCUCGAGGGUGGUAGGGGUAUGCGGAACUAUCGGUGGAGCGGUGAAAUGCGUUGAUAUCGAUAGGAACUCCGGUGGCGAAGGCGGCAUACCGGACCACUUCUGACGCUGAGGCGCGAAAGCCAGGGGAGCGAACGGG
rnacentral:rRNA from 1 species